UGGGGGAUAUUGCACAAUGGGCGAAAGCCUGAUGCAGCGACGCCGCGUGGGGGAUGAAGGCCUUCGGGUUGUAAACUUCUUUUUCUCUGAACAAGGCAUGCUAAUGGGUGUGUUGAGUGUAGGGGUUGAUUAGCGCCGGCUAACUACGUGCCAGCAGCCGCGGUAAUACGUAGGGCGCGAGCGUUGUCCGGAAUUAUUGGGCGUAAAGGGCUUGUAGGUGGCUGGUUGCGUCUGUCGUGAAAGCUCAUGGCUUAACUGUGGGUUUGCGGUGGGUACGGGCUGGCUUGAGUGCAGUAGGGGAGGGUGGAAUUCCUGGUGUAGCGGUGGAAUGCGCAGAUAUCAGGAGGAAUACCGGUGGAGAAGGUGGGUCUCUGGGCUGUUACUGACACUGAGGAGCGAAAGCAUGGGGAGCGAACAGG
rnacentral:rRNA from 1 species